UACGGAGGGUGCGAGCGUUGUCCGGAAUCAUUGGGCGUAAAGGGCGCGUAGGUGGCCCGGUCAGUUCGUGGUGAAAGCGCGGGGCUCAACCCUGCGUCGGCCAUGAAUACUGCCGCGGCUGGAGCACUGUAGAGGCAGGCGGAAUUCCGGGUGUAGCGGUGGAAUGGCGUAGAGAGUCCGGAAGAACACCGGUGGCGAAGGCGGCCUGACUGGGCCAGUGCUGGACACUUGGAGCGCGACGAGCGUGGGGAGCAA
rnacentral:rRNA from 1 species